AUUGAACGCUGGCGGCAGGCCUAACACAUGCAAGUCGAGCGGAUGAAGGGUGCUUGCUCCUGGAUUCAGCUGCGGACGGGUGAGUGAUGCCUAGGAAUCUGCCUGGUUGUUGGUUCUAACGUCCGAACACGGGCGCUAAUACCCCAUUCGUCCAUACGGCGUACGUGUGGGAUCUUCGGAUCUCACGCUCUUAGAUGAUCCUAGGUCGGAUUAGCUAGUUGGUGGGGUAAAGGCCUACCAAGGCGACGAUCCGUAACUGGUCUGAGAGGAUGAUCAGUCACACUGGAACUGAGACACGGUCCAGACUCCUACGGGAGGCAGCAGUGGGGAAUAUUGGACAAUGGGCGAAAGCCUGAUCCAGCCAUGCCGCGUGGGUGAAGAAGGUCUUCGGAUUGUAAAGCACUUUAAGUUGGGAGGAAGAGCAGUAAGUUAAUACCUGGCUGUUUUGACGGUACCAAAAGAAUAAGCACCGGCUAACUUCGUG
rnacentral:rRNA from 1 species